AUUUGAUUAGGAUUUAUUUAGGAUUUAUUCAGGAUUGACUAGAAUUUGGUUAGGAAUUGGUUAGGAUUUGGUUAAGGUUUAUUUAAAGUUUGAUUAAGAUUUGAUUAAGAUUUGUUAGGAUUUGACUAGGAUUUAUUUAGGAUUGAUUAGGAUUUGGUUAAGAUUUGACUAGAAUUUGAUUAGAAUUUGACUAAGAUUUGGUUAGGAUUUGAUUCGGAUGUGGUUAGGAUUUAAAUUAGAUUUGGUUAGAAUUUUAUUAGAAUUUGACUUAGAUUUAUUUAAGAUUUGAUUAAAAUUUAAUUAAGAUUUUUAUUUUAAUAUUUUAUUAAGAUUUCUAUUUUAGUAUAUUUUUGAAUUUAUAUGUUAUUUCUUCAUGAUUUCAUGAAAAGAUCUUUAGGAACAUUUUGUAUUUCUAAACAAACUAUAUUCAAACACAAUGGUAAUUUUUAGAUUAUUAUAGAAUAAUAUAGGGCUUUAUAGACAUGAUGGAAAAUUUUAAAUUAUCAUAAUAUAUUUAUUGGAAUAUUUAAAGGAAUAUUUUUGAUUAUUAUAGAACAAAAUAGAUGAUGUGAUAUCAAAGACUUUGGGUAAGUCGAAUAUUUUAGAUGAGCCAAAUAUUAGUGAGUUUUUUAAGGCUUUUUGUAUAUUCAUGGAAGAAUAACAUAGGAUAUAAGUACUUAAAAAAGAUAUCACAAAGGCAUUGCAAGGAAUCAUCAACA
rnacentral:lncRNA from 1 species